CCUACGGGAGGCUGCAGUGGGGGAUAUUGCACAAUGGGGGGAACCCUGAUGCAGCGACGCCGCGUGGGUGAAGAAGCGCUUCGGCGCGUAAAGCUCUGUCAGCAGGGCAGAACAUGCCCGUUCCUGAACAAGAAGCCCUGGAUAAUUCCGGGCCAGAAGCCGCGGUAAUACGGAGGGGGCAAGCGUUCUUCGGAUUUACUGGGUGUAACGGGGGCGCAGACGGCAAUGCAAGCCAGGAGUGAAAGCCCGGGGCCCAACCCCGGGACGGCUCUUGGAACUGCGUGGCUGGAGUGCAGGAGGGGCAGGCGGAAUUCCAGGUGUAGGGGUGAAAUGCGUAGAUAUCAGGAGGAACACCAGUGGCGAAGGCGACUAGCUGGACUGCAACUGACGUUGAGGCGCGAAAGCGUGGGUAGCAAACAGGAUUAGAUACCCGUGUAGUC
rnacentral:rRNA from 1 species